rnacentral:rRNA from 1 species
GACGAACGCUGGCGGCGUGCCUAAUACAUGCAAGUAGAACGCUGAAGGAGGAGCUUGCUUCUCUGGCUGAGUUGCGAACGGGUGAGUAACGCGUAGGUAACCUGCCUGGUAGCGGGGGAUAACUAUUGGAAACGAUAGCUAAUACCGCAUAAUAUUGACUAUUGCAUGAUAGUCAGUUGAAAGGUGCAACUGCACCACUACCAGAUGGACCUGCGUUGUAUUAGCUAGUUGGUGGGGUAACGGCUCACCAAGGCGACGAUACAUAGCCGACCUGAGAGGGUGAUCGGCCACACUGGGACUGAGACACGGCCCAGACUCCUACGGGAGGCAGCAGUAGGGAAUCUUCGGCAAUGGACGGAAGUCUGACCGAGCAACGCCGCGUGAGUGAAGAAGGUCUUCGGAUCGUAAAGCUCUGUUGGAAGGGAAGAACGGGUGUGAGAGUGGAAAGCGCAGACUGGAAGGGAAUCUUACCAGAAAGGCACGGCUAAUUACGU